UACGUAGGGUGCGAGCGUUGCCCGGAUUUAUUGGGCGUAAAGGGCGCGUAGGCGGCUCGGCACGUCCGUUGUGAAAUCGCCCGGCCCAACUGGGCGGGGUCGGCGGAUACGGCCGAGCUGGAGCAAGCUAGGGGGUAAUGGAAUUCCCGGUGUAGUGGUGGAAUGCGUAGAUAUCGGGAGGAACACCAGUGGCGAAGGCGGUCACCUGGAGCUUUGCUGACGCUGAUGCGCGAAAGCGUGGGGAGCGAUCCGG
rnacentral:rRNA from 1 species